rnacentral:rRNA from 1 species
CCUACGGGCGGCAGCAGUGGGGAAUAUUGCGCAAUGGGGGCAACCCUGACGCAGCAACGCCGCGUGAUUGAAGACGGCCUUCGGGUUGUAAAGAUCUUUAAUCGGGGACGAAUUUUGACGGUACCCGAAGAAUAAGCUCCGGCUAACUACGUGCCAGCAGCCGCGGUAAUACGUAGGGAGCAAGCGUUAUCCGGAUUUACUGGGUGUAAAGGGCGUGUAGGCGGGAAAGCAAGUCAGAUGUGAAAACCAUGGGCUCAACCUGUGGCCUGCAUUUGAAACUGUUUUUCUUGAGUACUGGAGAGGCAGACGGAAUUCCUAGUGUAGCGGUGAAAUGCGUAGAUAUUAGGAGGAACACCAGUGGCGAAGGCGGUCUGCUGGACAGCAACUGACGCUGAGGCGCGAAAGCGUGGGGAGCAAACAGGAUUAGAUACCCUUGUAGUC